UACGGAGGAUCCAAGCGUUAUCCGGAUUCAUUGGGUUUAAAGGGUCCGUAGGCGGGUCUUUAAGUCAGUGGUGAAAGCCGACAGCUCAACUGUCGAACUGCCAUUGAUACUGGUUAUCUUGAGUUAUACGGAAGUAGAUAGAAUAAGUAGUGUAGCGGUGAAAUGCAUAGAUAUUACACAGAAUACCGAUUGCGAAGGCAGCUUACUAACAUGUAACUGACGCUGAGGGACGAAAGCGUGGGGAGCGAACAGG
rnacentral:rRNA from 1 species